UGCGGCAACCAUAUCACAUUGGAAGCGCCGGUUCUCGUUCGAUUACCGCAGUUAAGCAACGUUGACAUUAAUCAAUACUUGCAUGGGGGACCAGAUGGGAACACCGCGUGUCUCUGGCU
rnacentral:rRNA from 1 species